rnacentral:lncRNA from 1 species
UUCAUAAAAAUCUUUGUAAUAGGCCCAUUUCGCCCGGGCCCACACAAAAACCAAAAAAACAAAAUAAAUAAAAUCAAAUGUUUUAAUAGUCCCAGUCCAUUUACAUUUAUAGCCCAAUAAACCCCAAAGAGCCUGAGUUAAUUUAAAACCUAAAUAAGUCCAUAUCAAUUAGCCUAAGUACAAAAGCCCAAAAAUAACAGCCCAAAUUUAAACCUUUGGCCCAAGUAAAAUUAACCCAAAAAGGCCCGAUGUCUAAACUCUUUCAGAAACCCUAAGGGUUUCUGAAGUUUCCUCGCUCCGCAAUAGCCUCCAAGCUCCAGCAGCUUGACUCCGGGAUAAGCUCACAGGGCCCAAGCAGGUUGAAGCUUCUGGAAGCCUCUACUACAGUUCCCACGAACAGCCCCACUGCGUCAGCAACACCAUGACCUUCCUCCUGCAACAGAUUAACAAACGAAAACAGCAAACAAGCCAUGGGCAGCAAAUAACAGCAAAUUACAAGAAGGAAAUUUGUAUUUAUUUUAUUUUAUUUUUCAGCUAUAAAGACCGAAUGAAACGAUGUAAAUGGGAUCUUUUUUCACAGAAAUACACACGCAUAUUGAAAGAAAGAAAAAUCAAUUCGAAAUCAAUUUUUAAGGGGAUUUUAGAUCGUUUUCUUCUUUGAUUUUUGUUUUUAUUUCCUCAAUCCGUAUACACGGAUAUUAAAAAAAGACAAAGGAUCCUAGAUCAUUUUUUUAGAAGAAAUCGACAUAGCAAAUACAGAGGAAAAAGAAAGAUCUCUUACCUAUCGAUCUGCGCAGAUCUAGUCGGUGGUUGUUUCACCGGUCCAAAGGUAGAUGGAUCUUGAGGAUUCGACUUAAACCAUGACGGAGUAGGUGUGUUUGGUGCCACCGUCGCACGUAGAUCGAUCGAAGGGAAAGAGGGCAGUAAGAGGAUUGAGGGAAAAUUUUUCUUAAAAAAACUCCUUUUGUUUUAAGGAAAUAAUCGGCUAAAUGAAUGCAUUAGGGCAAAAGAUUUUAGUUUAUAUAUGUUUAA